ACUGAGGAAAGCUCCGGCGCCUUGGGAGCGGCGAUCGUCCUAUCAGGUUGUUGGUGAGGUAACGGCUCACCAAGCCGAAGACGGGUAGCGGGUGUGAGAGCAUGACCCGCCGCAUCGGGACUGAGACACUGCCCGGACUCCUACGGGAGGCUGCAGUAACGAAUCUUCCGCAAUGUACGCAAGUGUGACGGAGCAAUGCCGCGUGUGGGAUGAAGCGGUUCCGCCGUGUAAACCACUGUCAGGGUCUAGGAAGAACUGACCAGACCCAGAGGAAGGGCCGGCUAAUCUCGUGCCAGCAGCCGCGGUAAGACGAGAGGCCCAAGCGUUAGGCGGAUUCACUGGGCUUAAAGGGUGCGUAGGCGGAUUGGCAAGCAUCUCGUGAAAUCCCUCGGCUCAACCGAGGAAUUGCGGGGUGAACUGCCUGUCUUGAGGAAGGCAGAGGCUGUCGGAACGUUCGGUGGAGCGGUGAAAAUGCGUAGAUAUCGAACGGAACGCCGAAGGGGUAGCCAGGCAGCUGGGCCUUACCUGACGCUGAGGCACGAAAGCGUGGGGAUCAAACAGGAUUAGAUACCCUGGUAGUCCAACGCCGUAAACGAUGUGCACUAGCUCGAUGCAGAUCUGACUCUGUGUCGGGCGCCGAGAAAUCAUUAAGUGCACCGCCUGGGGGAGUACGGUCGCAAGGCUAAAACUCAAAGGAAUUGUCGGGGGCUCACACAAGCGGCGGGAGCAUGUUGCUUAAUUCGAAGCAACGCGAAGAACCUUACCUGGGUUUGACAUGCACGGAUUAGUCAUUGGAAACAGUGAUGACGCUCUUCGAGUGGAACGUGCACAGGUGCUGCAUGGCUGUCGUCAGCUCGUGCUGUGAAGUGUCGGGUUAAGUCCCUUAACGAGCGCAACCCUUAUCGCUAGUUGCCAGCGCAUUAUGGCGGGGACUCUAGCGAGACUGCCGGUGUCAAACCGGAGGAAGGUGGGGAUGACGUCAAGUCCUCAUGGCCUUUAUGCCCAGGGUGGCAAACGUGCUACAAUGGCGUGUACAGAGCGACGCGAUACCGUGAGGUGGAGCAAAUCGCAAAAAGCACGCCCCAGUUCGGAUAGCAGUCUGCAACUCGACUGCCUGAAGCCGGAAUCGCUAGUAAUCGCGGAUCAGCCAUGCCGCGGUGAAUACGUUCCUGAGCCUU
rnacentral:rRNA from 1 species